rnacentral:misc_RNA from 1 species
GAUGAAGAACGCAGCGAAAUGCGAUAAGUAAUGUGAAUUGCAGAAUUCAGUGAACCAUCGAAUCUUUGAACGCACAUUGCGCCCGCCAGUAUUCUGGCGGGCAUGCCUGUCCGAGCGUCAUUUCAACCCUCGAACCCCUCCGGGGGGUCGGCGUUGGGGAUCGGCCCUGCCUCUUGGCGGUGGCCGUCUCCGAAAUACAGUGGCGGUCUCGCCGCAGCCUCUCCUGCGCAGUAGUUUGCACACUCGCAUCGGGAGCGCGGCGCGUCCACAGCCGUUAAACACCCAACUUCUGAAAUGUUGACCUCGGAUCAGGUAGGAAUACCCGCUGAACUUAAGCAUAUCAAUAAGCGGAGGA